rnacentral:siRNA from 1 species
UUGUGGAUGCUCUUGAUACAG